rnacentral:misc_RNA from 1 species
AGCAGCCGCGGUAAUUCCAGCUCCAAUAGCGUAUAUUAAAGUUGUUGCAGUUAAAAGCCCGUAGUUGAAUUUCGGGGUUAGCAGGUCGGUCGUGCCAUCGGUAUGAACUGGUCUCGCUGAUCCCUCCCUCUUGACGAACUGUGAUGCCAUUAAUUUGGUGUCGCAGGGAAUCAGGACUGUUACUUUGAAAAAUUAGAGUGUUUAAAGCAGGCUCACGCUUGAAUACAUUAGCAUGGAAUAAUGAAAUAGGACGUUUGAUCCUAUUUUGUUGGCUUCUAGGAUUGACGUAAUGAUUAAUAGGGAUAGUUGGGGGCAUUAGUAUUCAAUUGUCAGAGGUGAAAUUCUUGGAUUUAUUGAAGACUAACUACUGCGAAAGCAUUUGCCAAGGAUGUUUUCAUUAAUCAAGAACGAAAGUUAGGGGAUCGAAGACGAUCAGAUACCGUCGUAGUCUUAACCAUAAACUAUGCCGACUAGGGAUCGGAUGAUGUUAAUUUUUAAUGACUCAUUCC